UACGUAGGGACCGAGCGUUGUCCGGAUUCAUUGGGCGUAAAGAGCUCGUAGGCGGCUGCUCAAGUCGAAUGUGAAAACUCGAGGCUCAACCUCGAGCCUGCAUUCGAUACUGGGCGGCUAGAGUCUGGUAGGGGGAUCUGGAAUUCCUGGUGUAGCGGUGGAAUGCGCAGAUAUCAGGAGGAACACCGGUGGCGAAGGCGGGAUCCUGGGCCAGUACUGACGCUGGGGAGCGAAAGCGUGGGGAGCAAACAGG
rnacentral:rRNA from 1 species